CGUCAGGUAGCUCAGUGGUUUAGAGCAGUCGCCCGGCAAGCGAAAGACCCGGGUUCGAUUCCCGGUCUAGCGA
rnacentral:tRNA from 1 species